ACUCCUACGGGAGGCAGCAGUGGGAAUAUUGCGCAAUGGGCGAAAGCCUGACGCAGCAACGCCGCGUGUGGGAUGACAGCUUUCGGGUUGUAAAACCACUUUCAGUGACGACGAAAAUGACGGUAGUCACAGAAGAAGGUCCGGCCAACUACGUGCCAGCAGCCGCGGUAACACGUAGGGACCGAGCGUUGUCCGGAUUUAUUGGGCGUAAAGAGCUCGUAGGCGGUUCCGUAAGUCGGAUGUGAAAACUCAGGGCUCAACCCCGAGACGCCAUCUGAUACUGCGGUGACUGGAGUCCGGUAGGGGAGCAUGGAAUUCCUGGUGUA
rnacentral:rRNA from 1 species